UGGAUGUAACAAAAGAGGAUUCUCACUAAACACUAAGGGAGCAUUGGGACUAGAGAAAAAGCCAAGACCUAGUGCCCGUGAAGGAUUUGUGUUGACAGAAGCACCAUGCCAUGCCAUUUUAACUCUUUGAAAUGCAAGAAAAAUGGAAGAUUGGAGUAGAAUUAAUAGUAGUUACCUGGAGUUGCUCGUCCAGUCGCUAAAAUCUCUCGCCUAGUAAGAAAGACUUGACCGUCUAGUGAGGAUACCUAGCCAACAUGUCAUGAAAGCUAAAGCUCCCAAAGCGAGAGGAUCUUUUAUCUCAACGUGAAAUCAAUUUUUGGAAAACAUUAAAAGUGUCAAGACUUGAAGAGAAAAGUAGUUUUUGGUAGGGAAACGCUAUUGAGACUCAAGACAUGGGCUGAGGCGCUUCUAAAGUUCAAAGGAUCCAUCUUUCUUCAUCCAUUCCACCAUUUCAAUUCCAUUUUCUAUUCUAUAUGUAUAGGAGUAGCUAAACUCCAUGUCAUUGGGGUUGGAUGUAAUGUACCUAAACUCAUUGUAGUUUCUUCUUUGCAAUAGAAUAUCUUUUGUUA